GGAGAGAUGGCCGAGCGGGGCACCAGUCUCUUCGGAGGCGUGGGUUCGAAUCCCACUCUCUUCA
rnacentral:tRNA from 1 species